rnacentral:lncRNA from 1 species
AAAAGCAAUAACACUAUUUUUGGAUUUUUAAUUUUUGUUUUUUUUUAAUUUUUUUUUGUUUUUUUUAAUUAAUUUUAAUUUUUAAUUCUCCCCUAAUAUUUAAAUUAGAAGAACACUAUGAACAAACUUAACAAAAACAUAAAUAAUAGCUAACUUUAAGAGUGAUUUGGGAUCAAAGUUUUUAGACAACCUUAAUCCACUUGUCGGUACCUUCUAUCUUCACGUCUUUGUCUGGUCGAUCGUCGGUAUUGUUGUCCACUUAAACACGAAAAAUUGUGACAAAUUUAGGACAUACUAUUUGUUACAAGACAGGUGAACUUAAGUUCAAAAAAAAAUUAUAUCGGAUCCUAAUUUCUUAGAUACUAUAUCUUAAGGUCCAUUCAUCUGACGACGACCAGGGAUAUUGUUGUCCACCUAAAUUGAGCAGCGAGAUCUACAGACAAUCUGUAUGAGUUCAAUUUUAAGUGUACUGGAACGUGUUUCCCGCUUCCUGAUAUGCCCCAGCCAUCAAGAACUUCCAGAGUACUCCUUACACCGGGUGAGCAGACAACCAUUCAGAGAGAGGAUAGAUUCAGAAUUCUAUUACUUAUUACUUCAGAGGGGUUGAGAAGUAGAAGGUUGCAUAUGUUGUGUACCAGGUCGGAUUAGAAGUCACGCAAAGGAGACAGCAUAUGGCUAACAGAUAAGAAGUAUUUCACAUAUAUAGCCUGCAGAGAAAUAGAGUUGCAUAUGUUGUGUACCAGGUCGGAUUGGAAGUCACGCAAAGGAGACAACAUAUGACUAACAGACGGAAAGAAAGAAAAUGAUAUUCUACAGACCUAAUUUAUCGGAAUUUACCAGUCGCCCCAUCCAACCGGAAUUAAGGACAGAAUCCGCACAUCGAGGAAAAGUUAAACCACGGUUCCAAGUACGGGUUCAAUUAAUGUGACGAGUAGAUUCCCAUAUAUAUCUCCCUGUUCAACCUAUCUGAGCGUCCUAUUGUCAGGCUGAACGUAUCUAACUAGUUCAAGAUUUGUCAAGUCGAUAAAUUUGCUAAGUUCAACUCUCCCUAGUCAAGUCCAUUUAAAAAUUUUCGUGCCUACCGACGCAUCAAACCAGAGCAUAGACCCUUCAACUUCGGGUACGUUACGCAGACUCAGGUUGCCUGUUAUCACUUGAUAAUAUCACUUCCCAAAAAAUCUCCCUCAAACACAGACUCAUAACCAAUAUUUUUUUUUAUUUUCUGAUUUUAUGAUGUUUUUGGAUUUUUUUUUUAAUUUUCUAAUUUUUGUUUUGUUUUUAUUUCUCCCCUUAAAUUUGUGCAUAGGAGAGAAACGAAAGUAAAUGCACAAAUUUAAACUAUCCUAAAACAAAAAUUAGUCUUUAAAGCGAAUCAGCUUAAGAAAAACUCAGGACUAUAGAGAAGAAAACUCAAACCGUAAGUCACUGAUUGAAUCUACAUUCAGAAGGUCUGAGAACAGCAAGCAUAAUCUAGAACAGAUCNCCGUAAGUCACUGAUUGAAUCUACAUUCAGAAGGUCUGAGAACAGCAAGCAUAAUCUCAGAACAGAUCCGAAAAUUCUUCAUAUCAUUAUGCACUAACCCCAUUUGUGAUCUCUUCCUUUCUUCCUUUCCCGCAAAGGACACAUACUCCCAAACAAUGGUCUGAAUGUUGUACAGUUGAGAGAUGUCUCCUAUCAUGUGCCUGGAACAGCCACUACCAACAAACCGAAGUAUGAUGAUAUGCCUCCAUAGCUGCUCCAGCACAGAGCGAGAUCAGUUGGUCUUUGGAACCCAGUCCAUUUUGAAACUGGGUCGACCUUUGUCAUCCUUGCACGGUACCCUCUCCCAUGACAUAUCCUGUUUAUCACAAACAGAAGAUGAAGAAAUAUUAGAGUCAUUAGUUGAUUUGGGAGAUUGAGCCUUUGGUACCCAUUGAUAGUUGGGUUUAACCCAUUUCUUUUUCGAUCCGAUGGGUGGCUCGGUACUUGAUUUGGAACUUGAAGCCGUCUGCCUAAAUGACUUUGACCUAACCGUUCUUGGCUUCACAGGAGCAUGUCUUGAACUAGACUUCUGGGCUGACAUUUCCUUCUUUCCCUUGGGAUUCAGAUUCUUUGCCUUGUGGGUUUGAUUCUUGGCCUUCUGCGCAUUCCAGUCACCAUUGUCUGAAUGUGACCUGGAAGGGUUUCUUUUGAAGUAUCUCCCACUUGGCGCGUUUUGCCAUCCUUGUGCACAGUAUGGAACGUAUGCGCGAUUAGGACAGUUUCGGGCAAUGUGUCCAGGUGUUCCACAGUGAAAGCAAGUCUUUUUCUUUACUAUGAAGUUAUCUCUUCCUGCCCCUGGUGGCGUAUCCUUGCCUUGUCUCUUGUUGUUCCCAUAUGCACACUUACAACAGGCACUUUGUUGCUCUGGGAUUGGAGGCCUAUAUUUCUCAACGACAGGUUUGUUAGAAGCAACCGAGUUCGAAGCAACAGAUUUAGAGUUCAAGGAGUCAUUGGUUUGUUUAGAAGAACUCUCCUUGUUCUCAUCCUCUGCUACUUUACCUGCACAUGUAACAGAAACAUCAAUAUUUUCAACAUUAAUAACUCCUCCUGACACAAAUCCAGCUGGUUUUCCGUAUUUAAGAUGUGCCUCCCUGUCAAUUUCUUCUUGUUUCAUAGGGAUGGAUGUGUAGUUAUGAUUGUAAGGAGGAGGUACACUAUCAUACCCUAGACCCUUGUUUUGAUUCCUUUUAAACUGCAUGCUUUGGUCUAUCAUAUUUGCAACCACCUCACUUGAGAAAUCAUAUUUUCUAACAUCAAGUUUGGCGGUUUCAAACUUUCCUUUCAAAGAUUCAACUUCAGCCACUAGCUCAGCAUUUUGUUUGACUACAUAAUCAUAGUUUUCACAUUUGUUACUGUAGUCUUCCUGAAGUUUCCUAAAGUCCUUGGUUUUUGCUUCUAANNNNNNNNNNNNNNNNNNNNNNNNNNNNNNNNNNNNNNNNNNNNNNNNNNNNNNNNNNNNNNNNNNNNNNNNNNNNNNNNNNNNNNNNNNNNNNNNNNNNNNNNNNNNNNNNNNNNNNNNNNNNNNNNNNNNNNNNNNNNNNNNNNNNNNNNNNNNNNNNNNNNNNNNNNNNNNNNNNNNNNNNNNNNNNNNNNNNNNNNNNNNNNNNNNNNNNNNNNNNNNNNNNNNNNNNNNNNNNNNNNNNNNNNNNNNNNNNNNNNNNNNNNNNNNNNNNNNNNNNNNNNNNNNNNNNNNNNNNNNNNNNNNNNNNNNNNNNNNNNNNNNNNNNNNNNNNNNNNNNNNNNNNNNNNNNNNNNNNNNNNNNNNNNNNNNNNNNNNNNNNNNNNNNNNNNNNNNNNNNNNNNNNNNNNNNNNNNNNNNNNNNNNNNNNNNNNNNNNNNNNNNNNNNNNNNNNNNNNNNNNNNNNNNNNNNNNNNNNNNNNNNNNNNNNNNNNNNNNNNNNNNNNNNNNNNNNNNNNNNNNNNNNNNNNNNNNNNNNNNNNNNNNNNNNNNNNNNNNNNNNNNNNNNNNNNNNNNNNNNNNNNNNNNNNNNNNNNNNNNNNNNNNNNNNNNNNNNNNNNNNNNNNNNNNNNNNNNNNNNNNNNNNNNNNNNNNNNNNNNNNNNNNNNNNNNNNNNNNNNNNNNNNNNNNNNNNNNNNNNNNNNNNNNNNNNNNNNNNNNNNNNNNNNNNNNNNNNNNNNNNNNNNNNNNNNNNNNNNNNNNNNNNNNNNNNNNNNNNNNNNNNNNNNNNNNNNNNNNNNNNNNNNNNNNNNNNNNNNNNNNNNNNNNNNNNNNNNNNNNNNNNNNNNNNNNNNNNNNNNNNNNNNNNNNNNNNNNNNNNNNNNNNNNNNNNNNNNNNNNNNNNNNNNNNNNNNNNNNNNNNNNNAAAAAAAUUAAACUCAAAAAUCAAACUUGAAAAGUCAAACUUAAAAGUCAAAUUUAAAAAGUUAAACUCAAAAGUCAAACUCAAAAUUUUAAAUAAAAAAAAACAAAAAUAAAAGUUAAAAAUAAUUUAUAUAUUUAAAUAUUUUUUUAUUAUUAUUAAUUUAUUUAUUUUAUUAUUUAUUAUUUUAUUAUAAUUUUUUUUAUUUUGAAAGAAAAAGAAAUUUAAAAAUAAAAGAAAUUGAGUUUUUGGGUUAAAUUUGACAAAAUUUCAAAAGUUGGAUGCGACUGGAAGUGUUUAACAAUUAAAAACGGAAGGCUUGUAACAAGUUGUUCCUUAGUUUAACUGGUAAAGCGCCUUCUUGAAGUUGCAGAGGUCCCGUGUUCGAUGCUUGCCAGACGCAAAGCUGUUGNGCCAGACGCAAAGUUGUUGCCUUUUUGUUGAAGCGCUUGCAGCUUGCUGCUGCUGAGCCGAGCCGCAAGUCGCGAGCCGAUCUACCGAGCCAAUCUGCCGAGCCGAGCCGCAAACUCCGGAAACCCUAGCCGUAAACCCGAACCCCGCCGCCGGCCGUGAACUGUUUCCGGCAGUAAGCUCCGGCCGAAAACCCUUCAACAAUUACGUGAAAAACAGUGACUUUGAAUCUCCAAAACUCAAUCAAAAACUCUUUUUUAUGCAAAACACAAAGAACAAACCCCCUUUAUUUUUGCGAGAUCUAUCCAAAAACGCGAAAAUAUUUCAAAAAUAAGAUCAAAUAAUGCUCCAAAAUAGAGUUUACGGCCCAAGAACUCGGUGUUUACGGCCGUAAGCUUGGGCUGUAAACACAGAAUAUUCGAUUUUUGGAUGAAACAAUAAAUCCUUUUGACUGAUACAACUUGGAUCUGAUACCAAUUGUAAGUCCCUAAUUUGCCCGUGUAUCAGUUAGAUUCGUUUGAUGGUGCGGAAUCUCAAUCAAACGGAUGAUGUCAGAUCAAAAUAAAAGAGAAAGAGAAGAAGAAUAAUAUGAAUCUUUGUAUGUAUUGAUAUGAAGGAAGAUCCGGAUACAAAAGAUUCACACACACAUAAAAGAUUCUGUUUCUCUCUGGCCGUAAACUCCUUCUAGGGUUUAUCACUCUCUACUCCUCACCCUAACACCUCUAUUUAUACUUGAAUAUGGGCCGGACAAAACAAAUGGGCCGUAAAUGAGUUUACGGCCGUAAGGUGUUUACGGCCAUAAACUCAGCCGUAAACUAGGCCAUAAAUUCAUAUAAUAUUACACAAAAAUAUAAUUGCCCAGAAAAGUAAAGUGUAAACCAUAUUUUGACCCAACAAUAUUUUAAAAUUUAAAAACUUAAAAAUUUAAAAUUUAUUUUGGUUUAAUAUUAGAAAAUUAAAAGAUUGAAUUUCUUAAAUAUUUCCCUCCUAUGAGUGCCGAUGACCGCCAAGCCUGAGUUUGACCGAUUUUAACAAAUUUUCGCUAAUCACCCUAAUCGUAAUUGGUUCAAGACCGCUAUACGAUUAAUCGGCGGCUAAUAAGAAAACCUAGAACGACAUGGAAGGCUAAAAGAAAUUUUUUCCAAAGCAAUAAGAAUGUGAGAUGGAACUCUUGUACAUGUAGUUGUAACUGAUGAUCAACAUACGUGUUAUAAGGGAUGAGAAAAAGAUGAAUGUUAUCAAAAUUUCAUAAGGACUCAUGAUUUUGAUAUCAAAAUGCUAGCUCUAGUGAUUGUUUUGGCCUAAUGACAAUUUGGGAACAUGGAAUGGAAUUGAGGAUUUUAUAGUCAAAUUAAGCACAUACAAUAGGGUUGGUUACAGUUUUACAUACUUAACAACAUGCAUACGAGUGUUCAAUAAGUUGGGAACAAGCUAUGUGUGUUUUAGAAAGUCCACUUGGAAAAUCGGCUAUUUAGCCCUUCAUUUAAGACUUGAAGAACAUCAUAAUUUUAAAGGUUUCAUUAAGCACUUAAUUAAUUAAAUGGAGUGUUUUGGAUGAUAAAACACAUCCUAAUCAUGUAUGAGAACCUAUACAAAUGGUACAUAGAGAACUUGAAAGGACCUUAAAAAAAAAGUAGGCAAGGUAAAGCGUUAUUCUGAGAAAAAUUAGAGUUUUUAAGUGAAUUUCCAGAAAAGCGUGGGUGCGAUUUUUCCAAGGCUUAAAAAGCAAAGUCGCGUAACCCCCUGUUAAAGGAUGUUGCCCGCUCACUUCAAUAACUUGAUUUUGGCUCGUCUGUUUGACCUAAUUCCAAUUAUAUUAGUUAAGAAUUGUUGAAAAACGAUGUUUAGAAGAGUUUAUAAAUUUUAUGACCCUCAAGGGUAUUUGGUCAUUUUGUUGACUUUCUCCUACAUUGUGUUGGUGGUAUCUAAGGAGUGUUAGUUGUGGAAUAAAGCUGGAAAGGAGUAGCAACCUAUAUUAGUGACUUAGGUGAGUACGCAUAAGCAUUUUUCCACUUUGGGGUACAUGGUUAAAUGAUAUUUUUACUAUGAAAAUGCUAAAUAUUUUGAUAUAUGAAAUAUGUAUUUUCAAAGUAUAUUUUUUAAUAGUUUAUGAUAUCUAUGAAAUAUGACAUGAUCACAUGAGUAUUGAUAAUGUUUGAAUGUGAAAACUAGAAAUAAAGUAAUAAAGGCACAAAUGAAUCAUCUAGACUAUGGUGUCUCACAAGGGGCCUAGAGAAAUCUACUAUGAUAGUACAUUCACUUUGUGUAGUAAAAAUAUUUUUGCCAAUGAUGCCUUGGUGGACUUAUCUUUUUCUUUCCACUAUGCUCUUGAAUUGAGAGUGUUCCUAAAAUAGACAUAGACCCUAAGUAUAAAAAUGGAAAUAGAUUAAUACCGUAAUUAGCCCUUAAUGCAAGAAGGGAAUGGAAUGUGGUAAAUAUUAUAUUGGAAUAUGUUUUAUACUUUGAAAUUUUUUGACGAGUUGUGAUAAAUGUUUAUGUGUCGUAAGUUCGCGUAUCUCACGAGAAAUCUUUGUCUUAUGUAUCUCUUUUAGUGCCAUGUAUCUCAAGUACUAGUUCCAAGAUGUAGAUUGACUUGGUGAUAUUGAAAUCCAUGGGAGACUUACAUGGAGUGAUAACUUACAUUUAAAUUGAUCUUGUAACCGUAAUUUGUUAAGCUAUGGUUUCUUGAUACAAUUUCGGUAACACCAAACGGUUUUGUUUUGAAAACCCAUGUUUUAAUUUAACUCUGAUGUUUGUUUCAUGAUUUGAAAACUUAUUUCAUUUAACCAUAGCUUUGAAAAAGUUUGAAAAAUUAGGGGUGUUACAUAUUUCGUCAACUGGAUUUGUAAAUUUUCUUUAAGUUUGAGUGCUUAAUACAUGUAUCUUUUUAUGUAAUAUUGUUUUCACAUUCAUGUUUAUAUAAAAAUAUUAUCUUUAUGACACUUCAUACACCAAUACUCAUGGAUUUAUGACUUCAUAUCGUAAUACAAGAUAUUAGCUAGUCGAUUGACUAAAAAUGAAAGAUUCAAUCAUGCUCAUACACACAACUCAUAAAUGUUAUUGAGUAUGCUUAUGCUAUUUUGAAACAAAGAUUUCCAAUUCUAAAGCAAAUGACUGCUUUCAUUUUCCAAGAAAGAGAGACAAAAUAAUUGCAUGUUUCACACUAUAUAAUUCUAUAUGAAAAUGCAACAUUUACGACUAAUUAUUUAUGUAUUUGAGGAGGAUACCAUGUCUACUCUUAAAGUAAUAGAUGGAGAAAUUGGGGAACAAAACUUACCCAAAAUAGUAAGGGGCUCUCAAACCAUGAAUAUGACCAAUUCGCAUGAUCACAUUGCUAAUCAUUAAUUUUCAAAUCCCUCAAAAUAAAAAUUAUAUGCAACAUGCCUUGUUCAAUUUGGAUUUUAGUAUGUUUUUAUGGAUUACAAAAAGAUUAUUUGCUAUGAUAUUUUCUAUGAUGUUUUGUGAUAUUUACAGUUCAACAAGUUUAUUUAGAUGUUUUAUUAAACACAAAUAAUUCAUUUUGCAAAAACAAUUCUCAAUGUUAAAAUGUUACUCAUUUUCAUUUUACAAGUUUAUUCAAUAAUCUACCAAACAAUAUGAAUCAUUUUAUACUUUUAAUCAAUCAGACUUACAAACUAUUCAACGCUAAAUCAUUCAGGUAUUACCAAACAACUUAACUUGUAAUUCUUAUUCCAUUCUAAAAACAUAAUUCUUAUUCCAUCCUAAAAAACAAACAAAUACACUUUGAAAUUCCGAUAAACAAAACAUGUUUCAAUUUGAAAGUUGAAACGUUUUAACAAAAUCACACCUUACCAUGAAGUUAUAAUAAUUUAAUUAUUUAAUUUGGAUUAAUAAGUUAUCAUCGCAUUUUCACGCGUCACUCCUAACUUGGCCUUUGUGCUCUUUUAGGUAGUUGAUCAGUACGACCGACAAAACUAUCUAUGAGACUGAACCAAACGGCCACAUAGACUGUGUGUAAAAAACUUUCGUUCUGCUUCGUUUAUCAAUCGGUGAUGUUUUCUUUGUAGUGAGAAAAAAAGAUGAUUCUAAUCUGGUCGAUUUGUCCAAAUCAAUGGGCUUUUUCGUCAAUGUUGGAUUUGCAAACGCACUCCUUGUACUUCUCCUCGUCGGCGACGGCUGUGGAAGCAGAGUGAACGGUACGAGAAGGUCCGAGAACUGAUUGGAAAAGAGAAUAGAUUAAGUUUGUUUACGAUUCUCCUCUUCUCGACCUUCUCUUUCAUGGAGUGCAUAUUCUAUUUUCCCUUUUCUCUUUUCCCCCUUUACAUUUUAUGAUUUUAUCUACUCUGGUGAUUAGAGCAUUUAUAUGUUCUACGUAUCUUAGCGUUUUAAGCAGAAAUGUAAGUAAACACAUCUCAAUUUUAUCGUAUCAGUGUUAUGUUUAAUGGUUGAUAUGAAUUUCUAAUGUUCUUGUUAUCACUAAUGAUGGAUAUGUUGUGUAAUCUUCCUUAUGAAAUGUGUUUAAGCCUUAAUACUCAUGCAUGGAUGAAAGGAAAGGAUCAAUAUCACUUUUUUAUGGCUCCAUGCACUUCAAAAUAUCUGAAAAGGCUACUCAUAACCUCUGGAGUAGCUCAUACUCAACUAGACUAAGAUUAUAGGACCAAAGUGCACAAGAACCUUAGAACUAAUAUGAUCUAAUAAAUUGUUCAUCAAGCUCAUAACUUUAUACCUUCUGGAGAUUGCUGAGGAGAUGUAGGGUCUAGAUCCAGAAGGCUUGAAACUUCUUAAGUGCUUUCUAAGAGCUUUAUUCCAUUAAAAAUGAGCACAAAACUCUAAAAAGGAACAAAACUUCAUAAAUGGAGAUUAGGGUUUGCAAGGGAUCAUUUGGGAGGAUAAAGGAUGCAGGUGGAAUGGAUUUAUGAGGGUUAAAGUUAUUUAAAUAGGGUUCAAACCCUCAAUAUUAGGAUUUUCCCAUCAACCGAGUAUGCCCUGCGUACUCAGAGGCACUCGCAUUACCUUUUAAUGACAUACGCCCCAAGUACGCCUGAAGUAGGGAUCAUUUUUGCAACAAUGUACAUCCUGAGUCAAGAAAGGAAAUUGAUAGUUUCAUUUUAUUUACUUCUUUUUAUAGUUUAUUUUAGAAUAUUUCAUUCACAUUUUAGUUAAUUUCGAUGCAUAUUUUCCUUUUUGUUAUUUUAUGACCACUUUCAGGUACUUUCGAAUUUCAUGAGCAUAAUUGCAGGUUUACGGAGUCUAGCAGAGCGAGAAUGUUCGGGACAUAUGGGAAGUGGUUGGAUUUGGAGGAUAACAAGGAUCUUGGGCUUAAUAUCUAGUAGAUAUGGUGCGAAAAUGAGCUUUAGAAGGAUGGAGCAAGGAUGAAGAUGGCCUCUUAGUUAAACGAUGAUGGAAGAAUUUUUCAAGCGUGCGAGAAUUAAUGAUCAGGCGAUUACCAGAGCUUUAGAGAAUUUAGGAAAGACUAACUAGGCUUAAAAUGAAGACAAAUUGUUGAAAAAUGGGUUAAGAGAUGAUUGGACUCGAACUGGGCUAAAUGGGUUAAGUUGUGGAGGCCCAACAAAUGAGAAGACCCAAUCUCCGUCAGUUCACACGGCCCACGUGGGAUCUUUAGGUGGCCCACGUGGGUUCUUGCAGGGGUAAUUUCGGGAUUUCAAUUGGAGCUCUAUAUGGGUAAGGUUGGUGUUCCACUUUUCUCAACUUUUGCACAUCCGAACUUGGGAGCUUCUCUAGAGAUUUUAGAGCAUUUUGAAGACCAAGAACCUUGAAUAACUUCAUCUUUUCACCCCUUAAUCUUGUUUAAUGUUUUGUACAAUCUUUUACUUACUUUGUUGUCUUGAGUUUAGCCAUGCUUGGCUAGACAAAACUUGGUUGACCUUUGUGGAAUCCUUUGAACUUUUGUUGAAUGUUGAAGACUCCAUGAACUAGUUUUGAAUCUUUAUGAGAAUGUUUUAUGUAUUAACAUCUCAUCACUACUUGUAUGUUUUUAUUCAUGAGUUUAAAUGUGUUUGUGGUGAUUAGUUGGCUAAUUUCUUGAUUAAGUAAAGUAUCUUCAAUUUAGCAAGAAACAAAUGAUUUUUGUGUUAGUUUUGCUUCACAUAAUUAAAAAAACAUUUUCUCCAACAUGGUAGUGAAAGUAUUUGACUCCUCGUGGAUUUGGUGACUUUUUGGUUCAUAAUGCUAAUUGUCUUUCACUAAUUACAUGUUUAAUGGAAAAUUGUGACUUUAACUAAAGAAAUUGUUAUGAGCUCCUCUAGCCAUUUUAAAAACUAAGAAAAGUCUAGGUAACCUCAAGCUUCUUGGAUUACUAUAGCCAAAUUAAGGAUUUAAAACAAGUAUUGCACCAUUGGAUUCUAAUGAUAUGUUCAUCAAAAGUCAAAGUAAGGAAACUUUAAGUAAACCAUCUUUAUCUUAUUGAUGUUACAUCAAACUUAUAUUUUUGUUGAAUUGUCCAUUUAAAUCUUUGUUUAAUUCUAGCUUAUUUCAAGUAUUUCGAAAGAUCAACCCCUCCCCCAUUUUUAGUUUUAAUUAUCAUUUUAUAAGUAUUUUUGCAAAUAUGUUUUUCAUAGAGUUAUUAAAUUGAACCAAUCUUUGCGGAUUCAACCUAUUUACCACUAUACACUAUUUUAUUGUAAAAGAUUUAGGGAUAUUUAUUUUGUUGGCCUCGACAACCACCAGAAUUUACCUGAUUUGGUUGGGUGUUACACAUGGUUGUUACUUGGAAUUGAUUCCUAAAAUGGACAUAGAUCCUAAGUAUAAAAAUGACAACAAAUUAAUACCGUAAUUAGCCCUUAAUGCUAGAAGGGAAUCGAAUGUGUUAAAUUUUAGCUUGGUAUACUUUGAAUUUUUUGAUAAGUUGUGAUAAAUGUUUUUGGGUCAUAAACCUAGAGGUGGGAAUCGUGUCGUGUCGUGUCGGGUUCGUGUCAUGUCGAAACACUAAACGGGUUGAAAGUGCUUGACCCUGACCCGACCCAUUUAAUUAACGUGUCGUUUCGUGUCAACCCGUUUAUUUCGUGUCAAGUUCGUGUCGGGUUUCGGGUUAGGGCUAAAUAUGUCGUGUCAUGUGAGGUUAAAAGAUUGAGCAUGUUGAAAGAGUAGGAGUUUGGUAGGCGGAAAUGAAAAACUAAUUGUUUUGAGGCAUAAUAGAUGAAGCUAUAGCAAGUUUAGAUGACAAAAUAAGUUUAGAUGACAAAAUUAAAAAAAUGGGAGUUGGGGAGGCGGAUGACAAGGUCAUGAGGAUGUGAGAGUGGUGAAAGAGACUAGGUAGUUUGGGAGAAUGGAAAAACUGAAAUGAAAUAUUGAUCUAGACGACUAAGUCAUUUCAACAUUACAAAACAAUUCAAUUCGAAGGUUUUCUUUUACUUAUGCUUUUGGUUUUGUAUCUUUCUAAUUUAUUUAAAUAAUUUAAAAAUCUUGCAUCUAAAUAAACGGGUCAUUUUCGAGUCAUAUUCGAGUUGAAAUUCUCAACCCUAACCUUACCCAUUUAGUGUCGUGUCGUGUCAACUCGUUUAUUUAAACGGGUUGAAAUAUCUUACCCAAACCCGUUUAUUUCGUGUCGGGUUCAUUUCGGGUUUCGUGUCGUGUCAAUUUUUGCUACCUUUACAUAAACUCACAUAUCUCACAAGACAUCUGUGUCUUGUGUAUCUCUUUUAAUGUCAUGUAUCUCAAGUACUAGUUCCAAGAUGUAUAUUAACUUGGUGAUGUUGAAGUCCAUGUGAGACUUAUAUGGAGUGAUAAGUUACAUUUGAAUCGAUCUUGUAAUCUUAAUUUGUUAAGCUAUGAUUUUUGCUUGAUACAAUUUCGGUAACACCUAACGGUUUUGUUUUGAUAACUCAUGUCUUAUUUUAACUCUGUUGCAUGAUUUGAACACUGAAGUGGUUUAACCAUAGCUUUGAAAAAGUUUGAAAAUUUGGAGGUGUUACAUGUUUUGUCCACUGAAUUUGUAAACGUUCUUUAAGUUUGAGUGCUUAAUAUAUACAUCUUUUUAGGUAAUAUUGUUGUCACAUUCACGUUUAUAUAAAAAUAUCACCUUUGUGACGCUUCAUACAUUAACACUCAUAGAUUUAUGACUACAUACCGUAAUAUAAGAUAUAGGCUAGUCGAUUGACUAAAAAAGAAAGAUUCAAUCGUACUCAUAUAAAACUCAUAAAUGUAAUGUUAUUGACUGUGCUUAUGCUAUUUUGAAAACAAGAUUUCCAAUUCUAAAGCAAACGACUCCUUAUCCUUUUCCAAUACAUAGAAACAAAAUAAUUGCAUGUUUCACGGUCUAUAAUUCUACAUGGAAAUACAAUAUUUACGAUCAAUUAUUAAUGUAUUUUGAACAUGUCUACUCUUAGAGUACUAGAUGGAGAAAUUUUGGAACAAAACUUAGAAAGGGACUCUCAAGCCAUGGAUAUAUGACCAAUUCUCAUGAUCACAUUGCUAAUAAUUUAUUUUCAAAUGCCUUAAAAUAAAAAUUAGAUGCAACAUACCAUGUUCAAUUUGGAUUUUAGUAUAUUUUUAUGGAUUAUCAUCAUGAUAUUUCUUAUGAUGUUCUAUGAUAUUUACAAUUCAUUAAGUUUAUUUAAAUGUUUUAUUAAACAUAAAUAAUUCAUUUAGCAAAAAAAUAGAAUGUUAAUCGUUUUCAUUUAACACGUUUAUUCAACAAUUUUACCAAACAACAUGAAUCAUUUUAGACUUUUAAUCAGUCAUACUUAUUAAAUCAUUUAGGUAUUACCAAACAACUUAUAAUUUUUAUUCCAUUCUAAAAACACAAUUCUUAUUCCAUCCUAAAAAAAACAAACAAAUACACUUUUGAAAGUUGAAACAUUUCAACAAAAUCUCACCUAACCAUGAAGUUAUAAUAUUUUAAUUAUUUAAUUUGGAUUAAUAAGUUAUCAUUGCCUUUGCUCGCGUCACCUCUAACUUGGCCUCUGUGCUCUCUUUUAGGUAGUUGAUCAGUACGGACGGCGGAGCUAUCUAUGAGACUGAAGCAAACGGUAACAUAGACUCUGCAUCAUCAACAACCUUCGUUCUGCUUCGUCUAUCAAUCGGUGGUGUUCUCUUUGUAGUGAGAAAAAAGAUGAUUCUAAUCAGGUCGAUUCGUCCAAAUCGACGAGCUUUUUCAUCAAUGUUGGAUCUGCAACCGCGCUCCCUGCACUUCUCCUCGUCGGCGGCGGCUGUGGAAGCGGAGCGAACGAUACGAGAAGGUCCGAGAACUGAUUGGAAAAAAGAAGAGAUUAAGUCCGUUUACGAUUCUCCUCUUCUCGACCUUCUCUUUCAUGGAGUGCGUAUUCUCUUUUCCCUCUUUACAUUUUAUGAUUUUAUCUAUUCUGGUGAUUAAAGCGUUUAUGUGUUUUACCUAUCUUAGCUUUUUAAGCAGAAAUGCAAUUAACACAUCCCGAUUUUAUCGUAUCGUUGUUAGGUUUAAUGAUUGAUAUGAAUUUCUAAAGUUAUUCUUGCUAUCACCAUUAGCAUGAUGGAUUUGCUGAGUAAUCUUCCUUAUGAAAUAUGUUUUCUCACAGGCUCAAGUUCAUAGACAUGCUCAAAACUUCAGGGAGGUUCAGCAAUGUACACUUCUGUCCAUAAAAACCGGCGGAUGCAGUGAGGAUUGUUCAUAUUGCCCCCAAUCUUCUAGAUACGACACAGGAUUGAAAGCGCAAAAGCUCAUGAACAAAGACGCUGUUCUGGAAGCAGCACAAAAGGUACAUUUAACAUUUAACAUUUCCUCUAAUCACCCAUUCAUUUUCUACACCCAAUUUAUUCUAAUCACAAGAAUUCACAUUCUUACAUAUCUCUACUAUCACUUGUUAGGCAAAAGAGGCUGGAAGCACUCGAUUUUGCAUGGGUGCAGCAUGGAGAGACACCAUAGGAAGGAAAACCAACUUCAAACAGAUUCUUGAAUAUGUGAAAGAAAUAAGGUAUGUAAUAACUUGUAAUCUCUUAUCUUUAACCUACAAAUACCUUAUGAAAUCUGAUUAUGUGUAAUGGUUUUACAGGGGUAUGGGAAUGGAGGUGUGUUGUACUUUAGGAAUGAUAGAAAAGCAACAAGCUUUAGAACUGAAGAAAGCAGGGCUUACAGCAUACAACCAUAAUCUUGAUACAUCAAGAGAGUAUUACCCUAAUGUGAUUACAACAAGAACAUAUGAUGAACGAUUGGAAACCAUCAAGCAUGUUCGUGAAGCAGGGAUUAAUGUUUGUUCAGGUACUUUUGGUUGAAUUAUUAGGUUAAAGAGUUGAUUUUGUUUAUAAUUUUUUGAUUUUAUUUAUAGGAGGAAUAAUAGGGCUUGGUGAAGCUGAAGAGGAUAGGAUUGGUUUGUUGCAUACAUUGGCUACACUUCCUUCUCACCCUGAAAGUGUUCCAAUUAAUGCACUUGUUGCUGUAAAAGGCACACCUUUAGAAGAUCAAAAGGUAUUAUCAUACAACUACAAAGUAGUUUUCAUUGCUGUAAUUGGGUUAAUCUAUCAAAGAUUCUUAAUAUUUUCAAGGGUUAAUCUUAUAAAAGACCUUAUAUUUUGUGUUUUUGUCGGAUUAAACCUCAAGUUUAUUUUUUUCUUGAAAAAGACCUUGUGUUAUUUUCAUUUUAUCUGAUCUCAUCCUUUGUCAUUUUUUUUUUCCAAAAAAACUUAUAAAAUGUGAGGGCUUUUUCGGAAAAAGCUAAAAAAGUUGAGGGUUUUUUAGGAAUAAGUUAGAAGGGUGAGGUUUUUUUUUUCAGAAAAAAGGACAAAGUGAGUGUUUUUUCGGAAAAAUGAAAUACUACAAGGGUUUUUUCAGAAAAAAAAAAAAUAAAGUUAAGGUUUAAUCCAGAAAAAACAUAAAAUAUAAGGUCUUUUAUGAGAGUAUCCCUAUUUUCAAAAGGUUUAACUGCAUGAAAUAGGAAGGCAACUUUCUUUAUUUGUUUAUUAUAAAAAGUUGUACUAUUAUCUCUUCUUAUUAGAAACAUUGUAUUUAAAAUUUUCCCAAUUAUAAAAAUGUCAUUCAAAAUACAAAACUAUUUUCAAUGCUAUAAACAGGUUGUUUUUCAAAACAUAAUUUCCUAAUAAGAUAAAACUUGAAAUUACAAUGCUAUAAUUGAGUAGAUUUUGUAAACCCCAAUGCCUUAAUAUGAAAAAAAUAAAAUAAAACUUCAAUGUUGUAGUAGAAAAAAAAAGUAAUGUUUUUCAGCAAAUUCAAGGAAAAGUUGUUAGAAUUUUGGGUUAAUCUCAUAAACAACCUUAUAUUUUGUGUUUUUUUCCAGAUUAAACCUCAUAUUUACUUUUUUCCCAAAAAAGACCUUAUAUUUUUUCCGAAAAAACCUUCACCUUUUUAUUUUUUUUUUCCGAAAAAAACCCUCGACCUUCUAACUAUUUCCAAAUAAACCCUCAACUUUUUUAAUUUUUAUCGAAAAAAACCCUCACAUUUUACAAGUUUUUUCGGAAAAAAAUAACGAAACGGGCCAGAUCGGAAAAAAAAAGAAAAAUUUCAAGGACUUUUUCAGGUAAAAUAAUAAAGUUGAGGUUUAAAUCCAGAAAUAACACAAAAUAUAAGGUCUUUCAUAAGAUUAACCCUAUAUCAUUUACCUUACAAUUCCUUAAUUCUUUAAAUAAAUAACCCAAUGUUGCAAUACAAACAAAACAAAAAUAUCUUCCGAUUCUUUGCAUUUAUCCCUAAACAAAAUGUUAAAAAAAAAAUUGACAUUUCAUGGAGAUAGAUAUAGUUGGGUAGAUUUUUCAAAAUUAAUAAGAAAAAAAAAUAUAGUGCAAUGUUGUAACAGAAAGAAGAGAGAAAUUGUCACAAGAAUCCCAAUAUUUUCGAAAAAGUUACACUUCAAUCCCAUUUUUUUUUUGAACAUAAAACUCGCGAUUACUUCAUUUUCGCUCAAAUUAACAAUUUUUUUUUUCUUUUAACAAAAGUGUAAAUUACUGAAAUCGUCUCUAUGGUUUGGUUAAAAUUGCAUAUUCGGUCCCUAACUUUUAUUUUGCACUCAGAUCGUCCCUGUGGUUUGGUCAAAAUUGCACGUUUGGUCCCUAACUUUAUGUAUGUAAGGGACGAAAAACGCAACAAAAUCAAAGCAUAGGGACGAUCCAAGUGCAAAAGAAAAGUUAGGAACCAAAAAUUGCAAUUUUAACCAAACCAGAGAGACGAUUUCAGUAAUUUACUCAACAAAAAAAUGACAUAUCAUCGUGUUUUUCCAAAUAGUCAGGACUUUUAUGCUCAAAAAAAAAAAAACUCUGAGACUAAAGUGAAACUUUUCCGAAAAUAUCGUCACUUUCCUGACAAUUGAAAUAAAUGAAAGUACAUUCCUAUAUUUAGCAUUUAGCCGUUUUCAAUUUUUUUGGAUAUGAAGGCGGUUGAAAUAUGGGAGAUGUUACGGAUGAUAGCAACAGCGCGUAUCACGAUGCCAAAAGCAAUGGUGAGAUUAUCUGCGGGAAGAGUAAAGUUUUCGGUUCCAGAACAAGCUUUGUGUUUUCUUGCUGGAGCAAACUCCAUUUUCACUGGUGAAAAGCUUUUGACAACUCCAAAUAAUGACUUUGAUGCUGACCAGUCAAUGUUUAAGCUCCUUGGUCUGAUCCCAAAACCCCCCACCUUCUCACAUGAUGAUUCACAAGAACAACCUCUUCUUCAGGAAGCUCUUUCUAGUUCUGGUUGAGGUUUUUCAAACAUGUUGUAUCUUGUUAAUUGAUAUUCUUGUUUUUUUUUAUUAGGGUUAAGUUGAAGAUGAUGUAGGAGUUAGAUGUAUUAAUGAUUUGGUUUUUGGUUGGACUUGUUUUUUUUUUUUUUUUUUUGGACUGAAACUGAAAUCAAUACCAAGAAACAAAAAAAUAAAAAGAUAAAAAAGUGUAGUUGUUUUCGUUCAACCUAAAAAGAUGGUAGUAGGUGAGGAACAUGGACUUAGUCAAACAGAUUAGGUUAUGUUUGGUAAAAAAUAAGGUGGAUUAUCAGUUAUUUUAUUGUGUGAUUUGUUGAUUGGUAAAAUCGGAAAACUAGUUUUUGAUAAGAGUUUGUUUUUGUAAAUAUUUCAAAUAUGUUAUUAAUUGUAUCUAUAUUUUUCAUUUUAGUUAUACAUGUAAAUAUGUAUUUAUUGAAAUCUAACGAGUAAUUCAUAAGCUAGUUCGUCGACUAACAAUUUUUCAAAUAAAAUAUAGUUUGUCAAAUAGGACUAUAGUACUAGUACGUAUCUUCAAAAGUAAAUAAUUGAUAUGACGUUAUCAAGUUUGUCAAAUAGGACUGUAGUAGAUAUCUUCAAAGUAAAUAAUUGAUAUGAUGUUACUAGAUGAAUAAAUCAAGGGCAAUAAUUCACUAAUAUUAUAAGAGGCCACUUCCGCAUAUAAUAAGAGAACUUACAAAACUACAAGAAUGUGCUUUCUCAAAUAAUAAGAGGAAUCACAAAAUAAGCAAAAGAUGAGAGAGAAAUUUAUAUUAUAUUAGGUUAUAAUCCGUGGAAUAUGAUUAUAAAAAUAAUUAAAAUUUUCUAAUAAAAACUAAUCAAUUAUUUAUAAUAUAUAUUAAGAAAAAUAUAAUUUACAAUUAAAUAAGGUAUUUCACGUUUUGAAAACUGUGGUUGUUUUUUUCUAAACAAUAGUAAAAAUAUUAAAUAUGAGUAACUAACGUGGUUAUGUUGGUAAAUAUCCCUAAAAGGGUUAAACGCCUUAAAAUUAAUAUAAAAUUGCUAACAUUUUUAUGUAUUAUUAAUCUUCAUAAUUAACAUGGCAUGAAUAUGUCUUACUUUAUUUCCUACAUAAGGCUCUUCAUUCCUAUUGCUAUUCUGAAGAAAGAGAUAAUGACUUGAAAGGGUAACGAACUUUCGAUUUUUUUCACAUUUACUUACUAAAUUGUUUUUCGUUAUCUAUUUGUCAUUGAACUAUUAAAACUAUUCACAUUUUACCCUUAUGACCGGUAACAACCGGUCAUAAGGGUAAAAUGUGAACAGUUUCAAUAGUUUAGUGGCAAAUAGAUAACGAAAAAAAGUUUAAUGACUAAAUGUGAACAAAAUCGAAAGUUCGUUUGCCUCUAAAAAGUUCAAUGGUUAAAUGUGAGCAAACUUUCUAUUGUAUUAUGUUUUAGCAAAUUAUUUAUUUUUAUUUAAUUGUAGCAACAUUUGUUGAUUAAGAAAUCUAUGAAAUAAAAAAACAAAAUGUAACAUCCGGAUUUACAGGUAUCAUAAUUUAAGUAUUUUUCUUUUGAGUUAAGAAGAGAGACUCGACGAGUUGACGCCUCAACUCGUCGAGUAAGGUCGCGACUGGUGACUCGGAUUAAUGAAUGGACUCGACGAGUCCGCNCGCGCUGUUGGCAGAAACCCUAAAUCUUUGGGCCCGAGCCAUAUUUAAAGGCACUUAUGGCCUUCAAUUGCGACUACCUUUCCCAUAAGUGAGAACCCUAGCGAGCUUGAGUGUGUAGAGUGAGAGGAAGAGCUAUCUUGAGCUUUUUGGUGUGAUUUUGCAAGAAAGGAGAAGAGUUCCAGCAAGAGGGACCAAGGAAGGUUAUUGUUCUGAGUUAUUCAAGCAAGGAGCUUCAUUCUGAGGUACAAAAAUGAACCCCUUUCCUUCCCUAUUGUGUAGAUUCCAUUUUGGGGUUAAGGCUUGAAUCACUUCAUCUUUGGGGUUUUGAAUGCCUCAAACCCCUCUUGCAAGUUUGUGUUAUAGAUCUGUACCCUUUUAGGUCCAGAGAGCAAAGAAUAUGAAGCUUUAGUAGAGUAAACUUUGGGGUUUGAAGUUAGGAAUUUGGACCAUUCUAGGUCCAGAGAGCCGAGAAUAUGAAGCUUUAGUAGAGUAAACCUUGGGGUUUGAAGUUAGGAAGCAUUUAUGGGAUUUUUAUGGUAUAUAUAGUUACUUUCAUCUUACACAUAGAUAUGAAGUAUUUUAUAUAAAUUACGUGCUAUGUAUGCAUAUUAUUUGAAUACUUGUUGUCUAUGCUGGAUGAACGAUUUUAUACAUGUUUUAAAAGAUUUAAACGGUAUAUUUAUUUUAUAUCUACAAAUAUGUUGCGGAUGAAACAUGGGUAGAUGAAAUAGUUGGUGUGUGAUGAAAUAAAAUGAUGAGAGAUAGGUGAUGAUAGAAAGGUGAUGAUAAUUAGGUAAAUAGAUGAUGAUGAAUAUGUGAUGUAGGAUGAAAGGAGAUACCAUAACCUUAACCAACAAUGUGGCGAUGUAGUCAUCUACCAAAGUAUAGAUGGCGACCAUGGACUAUUCUAGACAACCCAGUGGAAACACCAGCAGGCCCAUAACCUGUAGGUGAUGAAUUACGAGUUCAAGCGAUGUUGUAACUACGUAUUCAUGCGAUGAUACUCUAAUCCCUUACUAUGAAUUACGAGUUCAGACGAUGUUGUAACUACGUAUUUAUGUGAUGUCACAAAUUCUGCAUGCCAAACCAAUGGUUGUAAUUCACAUCAGUGAGAAUGGUUCAUUUUUUUUGUAAAACCAAAAUCAGAUUGGAAAUUUUGAUUUUUUAUUUUGGAAAAUGUCAAACCAUUGGUUUUUUAUUUCGGUUUCGGUUUUUUGUUUUUUUUUUUAAAAUAUAUUUUCAGGGUUUUUUUUUUCAUAGAUUUCUUCAUCAACAAAUGUUGCUACAAUUUAACAAAAAUAAAUAAUUUGCUAAAACAUAAUACAAGAGGAAGUUUGUUCACAUUUAGUCAUUGAACUUUUUAGAGAGAAACGAACUUUCGAUUUUGUUCAUAUUUAGUCACUAAACUUUUUUUCGUUAUCUAUUUGCCACUAAACUAUUAAAACUGUUCACAUUUUACCCUUAUGACCGGUAACAGCCGGUCAUAAGGGUAAAAUAUGAACAAUUUCAAUAGUUCAAUGGCAAAUAGAUAACGAAAAAAAGUUUAGUGACUAAAUGUGAAAAAAGUCGAAAGUUCGUUACCCUUUCAAGUCAUUAUCCCAAAAAGAAAUAUAUGCAUACGGUGAUCACUAAGAUUUUUUUUUUAAUUACUUUUCUUUUAGUUGGAAAUCAUUAAGAUUUUUUUUUUAAUUAGUAACAAUCAUUUACCUUACGUAACCAUAACCAUUGCAUGGAAGAAAGUAACUCUAUACAUAACAUAUGUAUAUUAAGUUUACAGUUUAUAUGUUAGAAGUUUAAUAAUUACCGAUUUAAAUUUUGAAAUUUAAUUCAAGACCAUAAUGCUUCAUAAGUUAGUGAUGCAUAGUAGAAAUUCAACACCCCUUGAAUUUUGUUGUUGUUGUUGUUGUUUUGUUUUGUUUUGUUUUGAUUUUUUUUUUUUUUUUUUUUUUUUUUUUUUUUUUUUUUUUUUUUUGUGUGUGUGUGUGUAAUUUGGAAAUUUAAGCAUGAAUUGUACAUCUAAGGUUUUGAUAAACAACCCCAACAGUACACGUUUGUUCAACAUGUUUUUGAUAAACCCCAACAUUUUUGAUAAACAACCCCAACAAUACACACUUAUUCAAGAUGUAUGUAGUAUUUAGUGGUAAAGAAGAAAAUCUAAGUAUGAAAACCAAAAGAAUUUAGCCAAUAAACCUCAAAGGAACAGAGGAUACCAAAGCAUUAGUGGAAGGGAUCCCUAUCUUGAACUUUUUCAUCAUCUUUAUGGUUGAACAAAGGAGGCAGAAGAUUAGAACCUACCAUGUAACCAUUUGUAGCUAAUUCACGGUUAUCUUAGGCAUUUUAUCGGUCACAUGGUAGAUGAAACAAAUCAUCCAAGUUAUCCAUAUCAAGAACUCAAAGAUUGAGCCUUUAAGAAGUCAAAACAGUUAUGAAUAUCACAAUUUCUAAGUGAAUCUUCAAGACCGAAUGAAUUAAGACAAUUAAAUGAAAAAUAAAGUAACUAAAAUAAGGGUAAAAUAAAGUACAACCUUAAGCCUUUAAGAAGUCACAAAACUUAUGCCUAGGACAUCAUUCACACCGCAUUAAGGCGGAGAAAACACCUCUUGGGCGGAGGAGGUGGCGGCAGAACAUUAAAUAAUUUCCACUUUCUUUAUCUCCCCUAGAUUAUGUAACAUAGAAGAAUUGUAGGAUCUCCGGCGAUGAUUAAAACGACAUAUGUAUGCAUCGUCAAGUUGGUGGUCGCGAGUUUCUAAAGCACCAUGGAGACCGGAGAGAAACGAAGAAAGAGUAAAAGAGUUUGAAAGAGUUCAUGAGGGAAAAGGCCAACCAAGAAAAAACGACAUGCAUCACCAAGAAAAGUCGACAUCUGACAUCUGCAUUCCGAUUUGUUAUAAUCGGCACAUGUAGCUACUCUGUUAUUGCAUCCAUCUGAAGAACAUCAAGCACGUUGUACUUACGGCUUGUUCGUUAGUUUUUUUUGUAAAUUCGAGAAGGAAAAUUUUGACAAAAAGAAAUGGAGACGAAGGAAAAUAUUCAAUAUUCCGUGUUGUUCGAAGGAAAUGAAAGGAAAAGAAAAGAAAAUUUUAAGUUUUUAUGUUCCCGAGUUAGGAGGAAAAAGAAAAUAAACUUAAAAUUUUCCUUCCCCUCACUUUCUUCCCAAAUCCGCCCAAUUUGGGAGGAAAAUUUGGAAGGAAAAUAUGAUUCAAAAAUCCAUCCCCUCCCCUCACUUUCCUUCCAUUAAUGAAACUCGGGAACACGAUUUUUCUUCGACACCCCUCACUUUCCCUCCGUAUCCUCCCAUUUCUCUCAUUAAGUAGAACUUGGGAACAAGGCGUUAGGAUUUUGGUGGCUGUUGAUUUGUAGGAGAGCUCCAUCGAUUUUAAAUUUGAAGGGAGUGAGAUUCCCAAUAAUUAGGGAUAUAAAUUGAUCCUGAUUAAUAACGAAAAUAAGUGGGAUGCGUAUCUAUUGGUAAUUCGAAGUAAUGUAGAAAAAUCAAAAAAUCUAAGAAAAUGGCUAAAAAUGAUACGUGGCGAAGCAACUAACAUGUGACAAAAUAAAAAAACCUACUCUUUUAUUAGAUAAGGCUGAGUGGUAUGCUCACCAUGAACCCGGUAGUGGUCUGGGUGGACACGAAAAAUUUUCGUGCACACCACCCCGAGGUUUUGUGGUGUUCUGUACUCGUGCUCCCUCGUGUUGGCGAAGACGAUCCUAAACACCCAAUCAUAUUAGUAAUGCUUUAGAAGCCUGUUUUGAUAUUUUAAAACAAAAACCCGAUACUAGAGGAAUAAUGAGUUUUAGUAGUAUACAAAAGUGUGCAGCUGCGCUUAGGUAUUUGGGAUACUGUAUAGCAUUUGAUACAUCCACGAAUACUUGAAAGUAUCCGAGAGGACCGCAAUUGAUUAUGUAGAUUGGUUUUGUGCAUGUGUGUAUGGGGUUUUCACCAACAAUAUUUGUGUAAACCUAUUCCACGUGAUAUUGAGAUAUUAUAUUUGGCUCAUGAAAACAAGAAUGAAUUUCCGGGUAUGCUUUGGACUCUAGAUUGUACACAUGUGGCUUGGGAAAAAUGUCCAACCGCAUGGCGUAGUCAAUUCACUCGAGGAGAUAUAGGUGAACCAAGUAAAUCCUAGAAGCUGUUGCAUCUCAGGAUUUAUGGAUAUGACAUUCAUUUUUUGGAGUUGCAAGGUCUAACAACGACAUUAACAUUCUUGACCAGUCUCCUCUUUUCAACGAUCUUUGAACCCGCAAAGCACCUGAUAUUCACGGUGAACGGACAUUCGUACAAAUACAGUUACUGCCUGUGACAACCUGAAAUUUCUAACUUGUAUAAGAAUUCAAUUCAAUCAAAGUCAGACUCCUUUUUGCUAUCUUUUAGCACUAUUUAAGGUCUAUUUGAGGGUUCUAAGCAUAAUACAAUCAAGGUUUGAGCUUAGGAAUGAGUUACCUUAAGUCAUAACAAGUCAAUAGGGCCAAACACUCCUUCAAUAGGAGUGUANUACGACCGUUAACCCUAUAUGGGGGUAUAUAUAUAUAUAUAUAUAUAUAUAUAUGACACUUAGUCAUUUUAACCCCUUUUCACACUUCCAAGCCUAGAAAUCGGAUUCUCUCUCAAGUAUCAUCAAGAAUUUUCACUUGAUCUUCAAAUAAGUGUUCCUUUCAUUGAUAGUUAAUACAAUGCUUUAACAAGUGAUGAUCCAUAUUUUCAUCCAUGAAAUAUACCUCUUUUUGGUUAGAUCUUCAAGAACACCAAGAACACACAAUAAGUUUUUGAGACUCUAAACACCCCUUCAAGCUUCCAGAUUGUGAGUAUUCCUUCCAUAGCUUGUUAUAUGCUAGAAACUCUUGAUGUUUAAACAUAAAAUCGACCAUUUUUCAAGAUCAUUAAGGGUGUACGGUUGUACACACCCUAUGUGGCCAUACACACCUCUUUUAAGGUCCAAAAUGGUAACCAACUUCCCUCACUACUAGAAAACAGACCUUUAAUGACGCGCUUUUUACGACACGCAUUGAUUAAUGAUACGCAAAAGGACGUGCCCUUAAAAUAGUGUUAUCUCUCCAAAAAAUUUAAGGAUUUACGUCACGCAUUAUUGCGUGCCCUUAAUUUAGUGUCUUAAGGAAAAAAAAAAACACGGAGGGCACUUUAUCUUAAACGCACGUCGUCUGUACCUGUCGCUUUAUAAUCUUUUAAUAAAACACACUUUUAGUAGACAAGGGGUGAAACGAAAUCCCCAAAAUUUUGAAAACCCGCCUCGAUUUUUCUAUCUUCUAUCUAUCUUUCAUCCUUGCAAUCCACUCUCCCCUCUCUGAUACUCUCUCCUCUAGAUCUCCCUUCAUUCUCUACCUCCCGUCUCUCUGUAAACCCUAAGCCAUCGCCACCUCCCUUCUCUCUAGCACGUGCUAGGGGUUUUAUUUUCUUUCAAGCUUCCGCUUCUCUCGUUUUCUCUCAACCCAGUACGUGCGAGGGUUCGGAAUAACUGAGCGUAUUCAAACAAUCAAUCUUCCAUUUGAACUUCUUUCAACUCUGGAUCAUCGAGUAUUUUUUCAGAUUCCUUUUCCUGUUUUGUUCAUUUAAGACAAAGAAAGAUUGGGACGAUGGGUAUGUUCAAACCCUAGACCACAUUCACGCCUCUCCAUCCACACUCGCUACCUUUUCCUCUGUUUCUUCCUCUAACACCGUUGAUCUAGGGCAAAAUCUCCGCCAUCUUCAGUUCAUCUUCAGUAAUAUGGAUUUGAAACCGUUGAUUUUGGAAGGGAGAGAUAGGGUUUCUGGAAUUUUAUCAUGAUAUGAAACCCAAUAACUGAAGUGAUGAGAAGUCAGGGGUAUUUUGGACCAUACGAGUCAAAUAUAUUGGAAGGGUCAUGACCUGUGACAAGGAGGGGCAAGAAGGGCGGCCCAUUAUUUUCAGGGGGGCUAAAAAUAAAGAUAGUCCAAUUUUUCACUUACUCACACGCGAGAAGGCGACAUAGAUCGAUCGCAGCAGAACACAUAAAUCAUCAACGAUUCACGCCUUAACGACAACAUCGACUAGCGAGGUCCCAGGGUUGAUGUGAUUCUGUGAAGGAUCAAUUUAUGCGCUCCUACAGUCUUGCUUAUUCUUCUGACUUCUAAUCAAGUAAGUAAUCGAUUAAUUGUUGUUAUCCAAGUCUUCUAUCCAUGCGUUGGAUCAAUUUGUAAUUGAAUGCCGAAAUCAGUUUGUUGAGUCGAAUCUUCAGUUUGUAAUUGAAAUAUUGAACGUCGGUUAUCACUUAUCAGUUUAUUAAUUUCUAAGUAAUGCUUUGCAAUCGGUUUAGUAUUGUUGUAUUAAACCAAAAUGUUUAUGAAAUAACUAUAGAAAGUCAAACUGUUUUGUAUCAAAUGACCCAAGUGAAACAAUUUUUGAAGUACAAUGACUCGGUAUUUAUGGAUAAACUAUAAUUAGAAAGCUAUAUGAUAGGUCUUUAGCUAAUAAAUUUUUGUUGGAAGUUUUAUUUUCUAUAAAAUAAAUUAGGAAAUAUGUAGGUAGUUAAAUUUUAUUUCAACACCAUAUCAAUUGUUUUGUAUUUGCUGAUUCAUGGAGUUUAACCGCAGGUUCACUCUUUUGUCUGAAUCAGAUUCUUGGAGCACCAAAUGAGGAAAUUUUGUUAAUUCACGAAAUAUUUGGGUAACAAUUCUCUCAUUAUUUUGAUUAUUUUCUUUUGUUCCUUUUUCAUGUUCUCAUUUUUCUUCAUAUUGUCUAGAUUGUGUCUAGCAGGAGGGAGGGAAGUCCAUGAUGUAGUUGUGAAAAGUAUUCAAGAUCUGGCAAAAGCAUUCUCACUUUAUGAUGUUGAAAUGCUGGUAAUUAAUAAUUAUAAUAAUAAUAUCAUCACUUCAAAACUUUUGACUUUGGAGAAUCUACAGGGUUGACUUUUGUAUGCCCCACAACUUGUUUCAGGUAAGAAGGGAAGAAUUACUUCAGUUUGCUCAAACUGCAAUCACUGGGCUUAAAGAAACUGGUGACAUAGCACGGUAGGUGAGGCAAGAGUCUAAAACUGUAAAAAAAUAUGUUGAAUUUCUUGUUUUUAAGCUAAUUUUAUAUCUAUUCUUUGUUGUGUGAUCUGCCCUCAGAAUAGAUUUUGAAAUCUCACAAAUACAUCAACGAUUGAAUAGAAUGAAAUGCCAGCAAUCUGCACAUGAAGCCAGUGACAAUUCUUCUGAGGCAACAAGCACUGCAUCAUUAAUGAUUAAGCUGUUGAUGAAAUCAAUACAACAAUAAACCCUAAUAGGAAACCAUAUGUGAAAAAACACACCUUUUCUGAUGCAAGAAAUAGAAGAACCUGUUACACAUAUUUAGUUGUGCUGCAGAUUGAAGUCAUUUUUACUGAAGAAAUGAUUGUUGAGAUAUGGGGAUACAAUAGAGACUCAUGCUCAGAGAGUAUGGUUCAUCUAGUUUAUUAAAUGAUUAAUUGAUUAUAUUUUGUAUGAUUGUGUAAUUAUUGUGCAGGUUGAUAUAUUAAAAGUUCUAGUAGAAUCUCUUCAUAACUCGGCCUCCAAAACAAAAAUGCGAACUUUGGACAGAGGUAAUUAUUUUAUCAUUUCUUUUGACUUUGUUUUUAAUUUAUACAAGUGUAUUUUUCUUGACCUCACUGAUGUGUUGGUAGGGAAGAGAAAAACGAAGCCCUUACUUUUCGUGUAGCUAGAAGCAAUGAAGUCAGCCAAAUUGAGAAGGUUUGAUGGCAUUUUGGAAGUUUAUUACAUUUAUUUUAUUAUCUUUAGAUGAUUAGAUUCUAUUACCUUAAUUUGAAGAUUAGAACAUUUUUCAGGAGUUGGGAGCUGAAAUUAGUGAGCUUGAAAAGCAAAGAGACAAAAUCGAAGCUGAAUUGAGAGAGGUAUUCUUCAUUGUGAAGUCUAAGUUUCUAACUCUUAACACAUGGUUUUUGUUAGCUCCUCCUUCCGAUAUUGCCCUUGUCACCCUGUUAUCCGGUUGGGCUUGCAAAGGGCGUCCAAGGGAAAUAUGCUUGUCUUCAAGCACAAAAGGUUGUUGUCAUGCAAGGGCAUUUUUGGAAUCCAGUAAUGGUUGCAAUCCACCUUGUUGUGCAAUGGCAUUUUUGGAAAUAUGCCUGUCUUCAGGCACAACAGGUUCUUGCUCUCUCUCUCUCUCUAACUAUAUAUAUAUCUAUAUAUAUGCAUAUAUAUAUAUGUAUAUAUAUAUNAGGAUGGUUGCUGGAGGGAAAUAAUGAACAUGUAACUUUCAACCUUUUUCUUUUAGCUUUCUGAUACAUCUUAUGUACUUUACUAGUGUUAUGCAACUUAAAUUCACUUUUUGAAGUUAAUCAAUCUUUGCUGAUAUGAUGGAGUUUCACUUGAUUGCUAUCUGUUUUAAAUUAACACUACACGACACAUGCAAUAGUCUUUAAAAUUAAUAGCUAGUUGGCAGUAUGUUCACUCGUUAUGUACCCUUUUUAAAUUUGUUUAAUUAUAUGUAUAGCUAAACAAGCUAGCUAGGUGCAUAAUACGAUUCAUUUGAAUCUUGAGUUUUCUACUGAAUAUUGCUUUGGACUCAUAACAGCAGGUUGGGCGCAAGUUUUACACCAAUGGGUUAUAAGGUGGACUGAGGUGAUAGAUCAACCAGAGGGGUCAUCCUUUUAAAAGAUUGAUUUUAUCCCCUCUAUAUGUUAAAGGACUUGGUAGAUCAUCAUCUGGUGGAAUCUUGAGUUCCAUUACUUAUGGAGCCAAUGAGAUUGCUUCUUCUGUUCUAGCAAGUAUCACAAGUCAAAGUAAGAAAAACAAAGGGAAUUUCAAUCGAGUGAAUUUAGAUAAAGAUAAAGGUAUAGGGGAAUCGUCUAUCUUCUUGCAUGCCUUCUAGAACCUUUUAUGCCAUCGUUUUCUAUUGAGGCAAGUAAAUUCCCACUAAUCUGUUUCUAAUCUAUAAAAUACCGUUUUUACCCCUUCAAAUAGUUCUUUCUAUUUGUUUUAUUGAUACACAGGUCCUCAAGCAGCUCAAUUUUCCCCUUCAACUAUCCCUCUGUGAUGAUAAGGGAGAUAUCAAAAAGGCCAAAACCCCUUCGGAGUUCAUACCUAUUGGCCACAAAAUUGGGACCCCUGUUCCAUUAUUCAAGGAAUUGGUAAUUAACUAAUUAUCAAUAACAAAAAUUCAAUAUUAAAAAUAUUUCUUUUUAAUUUUUUUUCGUGUACAGAAAGAUGAAGUGGAGUUUUUCCGGAAUAAAUUUUGCUGGCAGUCAAGCUGACCGAGUUGACUGGGCUUUUAAGGAAGAAGCUGAAGCAAAAAAACUUACUGAAAAGUUGAAGAACACAAAAAUUUCAGGUCAUUAUUAUUUUUCCCUGAAAACCCUGAACCUCUGAAUAUUUAGUGAUAAAGCAAAACGGUUGGUAAUUAUUAUUAUUAUUAUUAUUUUAUUUAAUUUUAAUAAUGUUUGCAGAUAAAAGUGGAAAGAAAGAAAAGGGGGAGAAGUCUGGUGUUGGUGAAAAAGCAAAAACAAAGGGAGCUGUUGUGGAAAAGGAAGUAACAAAGGGAGAGGAUUCUUUUCCAUUAUUAACUAAAAUUACAUGAAGUUAAAGUUAGGUCCUCUUCUUUGUGUUGAGUGCUUGUUGCUCUGAUUUUGAUCUAUGUGUUGAGUGCUUUUCUGUUGGUGCUGAGGUUUAUCCUCAUAAAAGCAAUCAUCCAUAUAGAGUUACGGUUAGUAAUUUCUUGUUGGUAUACAAUUGUUGAAGUUUGUUGUUGUGUUCCA